GACGAACGCUGGCGGCGUGCUUAACACAUGCAAGUCGAACGCUGAAGCUCAGCUUUUGUUGGGUGGAUGAGUGGCGAACGGGUGAGUAACACGUGAGUAACCUGCCCCCUUCUUUGGGAUAACGCCCGGAAACGGGUGCUAAUACUGGAUAUUCACUGGUCUUCGCAUGGGGGUUGGUGGAAAGGGUUUUUCUGGUGGGGGAUGGGCUCGCGGCCUAUCAGCUUGUUGGUGGGGUGAUGGCCUACCAAGGCUUUGACGGGUAGCCGGCUUGAGAGGGUGACCGGUCACAUUGGGACUGAGAUACGGCCCAGACUCCUACGGGAGGCAGCAGUGGGGAAUAUUGCACAAUGGGCGCAAGCCUGAUGCAGCGACGCCGCGUGAGGGAUGGAGGCCUUCGGGUUGUGAACCUCCUUCGCUAAUGGUCAAGCCGCAACAAUGGUUGUGGUGAGGGUAGUGGGUAAAGAAGCGCCGGCUAACUACGUG
rnacentral:rRNA from 1 species